CCUACGGGACGCAGCAGUGAGGAAUAUUGGUCAAUGGUCGGGAGACUGAACCAGCCAAGCCGCGUGAGGGAUGAAGGUACAGAGUAUCGUAAACCUCUUUUGUCGGGGAACAAAGGCGGCGACGCGUCGCCCGGUGAGUGUACCUGAAGAAAAAGCAUCGGCUAACUCCGUGCCAGCAGCCGCGGUAAUACGGAGGAUGCGAGCGUUAUCCGGAUUUAUUGGGUUUAAAGGGUGCGUAGGCGGUUUGUUAAGUCAGCGGUCAAAGUUCGGGGCUCAACCCCGGCCCGCCGUUGAAACUGGC
rnacentral:rRNA from 1 species